CUUUCCUCAGGCCCUCCUGUCUGCUCCACGUGGGGCGCCGGGGCCUCGAACCGCCCGUCCCCUCCAGCCGAGUUUCCCCACCCGCCAGGCCACCGCGGCGUCGGGGUCCCAUACCUGAUGCUGUUGUCGCCCCUGCUGAGGACAGCACGAACAGUUCCCCGCGGUGCUGAGGCCUAACUCGACCGCCGACUGGUGGGAGUUCUUCCGUCGCCCUAGCCGUAGCUGCCGCAGUUGAAGCCGCUGGCGACGCCCGCCUACCCCUCCCCUGUGCGCACAGCGCCCGCCCCGCCGCCGUCGUCGUCGUCGUCCCUGCAGCCUCCGCCGCCGUUGCGCCUAUUACCCCUGCUAAGGCGGCUGCCGCGGUCGCGAGCCAGAAUGUCGUCACUCAUCGGCGCCCGACGCAUUUGCAUCAUCAUGCUGCGACGAGCUGAUAGGCAAAGAGGAAGGGCUGGUCGAGUCCACGCUCUCGGCCGCGCGGCACGCUGGGAAACGUAGUUCAACAACGGAACGCGGCUUCUCGGAAAGGAAGAGGGACGGGGAAGGAGAUCUCCGGGGCGCCGCAGAGGCACAAAGCCAAGGGGUACUUUUGCUGUUCUUGGCUGUAAAUUAGACUUUGAAAAGACACUUAACAUAAAAACAGUAACCUCUUCCCAUUCUCCUUCUCCCUGUCGGUUGGUUAAGUAGGCAGGAAGUAAGCAGACAGUAAAAUCAAAGACAAGAGCUAAUGAUUUAAGAAGGAGGAAAAAAAAAUCUGUGGUUGAAAAAUAAAGUCCAUGAUCCUUAGAAUUAGAAAAUAUAUACGGCUUCAUUAAUGUUUCUUUAAACAUAUAAAGGUUUUGUUGCAGACACACGGGGCUGGAAUUCUGGUUCUGCCACCCAACCUAUUUGACCUUGGAUGAAUCAAAACCGUCUGAGCCUUAGCUUCCUCCUCCAUAAAAUGGGAGCUUUAAAAUCCACCUUAUAAAGCUGUUGUGAGGAGCAGACGUGAUCAUCUAUGGAGAGCAUGUAUAUUUGCUAAUAGACGAAAAAUGCGAUGAAUGAUUACAAUUAUAACCCAUGCAGUCAGCUAACAUUAGGGGCACUCCUUGCCAUUUCCUGUUGCUACCAUACUUUAUUAUUUUAAAGUGUAUUCCUGGUCAGGCAUGUGGCUCACACCCAUAAUCUCAGCACUUUGGGAAGCCAAGGCAGGAGGAUCACUUGAGGCCAGGAGAUUGAAACCAGCCUGGGCAACAUAACGAGACCCCUUCUCUACAAAGAAAUGAAAAAAUUAGUUGAGCUUAGUGGUGUGCACCUGUAGUCCCAGCUACUAGGGAGGCUGAGGCAGGAGGAUCACUUGAGCCCAGGAGUCUAAGGCUGCAGCGAGCUAUGAUCUCACCACUGCAGUCCAGCCUAGGUAACAGAGUGAGACCCCAUCUCUAAAGAAAAAAAUAAAGAAAAUGAAGCUAUUGGGUUUAUUUAUUAUUUAUUUAUUUAUUUAUUGCCUGUUUGCUUGUAUUUUAGGGAAAGAAGGGCCACACAACGGAAAGAUAUUUAAGGAUGUAAAUCAUUGUAUUCUCAUUAACUUACUGUGUUCUCUCUCUAUUGGGAAUAAAGUAAUAUUUAAG
rnacentral:lncRNA from 1 species